rnacentral:rRNA from 1 species
UCGAGAAUCUUCCGCAAUGGGCGCAAGCCUGACGGAGCAAUGCCGCGUGAGGGAUGAAGGUCUUCGGAUUGUAAACCUCUGUCACUGGGGAGGAACACAAUGACUGUACCCAGGGAGGAAGUCACGGCUAACUACGUGCCAGCAGCCGCGGUAAUACGUAGGUGACAAGCGUUGUUCGGAUUUACUGGGCGUAAAGGGUCCGCAGGGGGCCUUUCAAGUCUGAUGUGAAAUCCCGAAGCUCAACUUCGGAAUUGCAUUGGAUACUGUUAGGCUAGAGCAUCGGAGAGGAGAGUAGAAUUCCAGGUGUAGCGGUGGAAUGCGUAGAUAUCUGGAAGAACACCAAAGGCGAAGGCAGCUCUCUGGACGAUCGCUGACCCUCAGGGACGAAAGCGUGGGGAGCAAACAGG